rnacentral:rRNA from 1 species
AGCGGAGGAAAAGAAACUAACAAGGAUUCCCCUAGUAACGGCGAGUGAAGCGGGAAGAGCUCAAAUUUGAAAUCUGGUAGCCUUCGGUUGCCCGAGUUGUAAUCUAGAGAAGUGUUUUCCGUGCCGGCCCAUGUACAAGUCCCUUGGAACAGGGCGUCAUAGAGGGUGAGAAUCCCGUCCUUGACAUGGACCCCCGGUGCUUUGUGAUACACUUUCAACGAGUCGAGUUGUUUGGGAAUGCAGCUCAAAAUGGGUGGUGAAUUCCAUCUAAAGCUAAAUAUUGGCGAGAGACCGAUAGCGAACAAGUACCGUGAGGGAAAGAUGAAAAGCACUUUGGAAAGAGAGUUAAACAGUACGUGAAAUUGUUGAAAGGGAAACGAUUGAAGUCAGUCAUGCUCUUGGGACUUACCUCCCUUGAGUGGGGUCAACAUCAGUUUUGAUCGAUGGAUAAAGGCACGGGGAAGGUAGCACUCUCGGGUGAACUUAUAGCCUCGCGUCAUAUACAUUGAUUGGGACUGAGGAACGCAGCAUGCCUUUUGGCCGGGAUUCGUCCACGUACAUGCUUAGGAUGUUGACAUAAUGGCUUUAAACGACCCGUCUU